rnacentral:tmRNA from 1 species
GGGGAUGACGGGUUUCGACAGGGCAGCGAGGUCAGGAGUGGCGAGCCGAGGUGUCCGUCGCUAUCUCGUAAAACAACGGACAAACAAGUACCUGGCGAACGUCAGUACGCACUCGCAGCCUAAGUAAGGCUGCCGUCCAUCCGAGUCUCGCCUUGGUAGGCGGAGAAUGGGCGCAACAAUGCCAAGGUGCUCCGAUCUUCCUCCCCGGGGGGUCGGCUACAGCGAAGGGGAUAGCGCCCGCGGAACGUUGUCGGUCCGGGUCAACGGCGCGAAACUAACGAACCGACUACGCUCGUAGGCACUUCUGGGCAGACCGUUCUGGACGGGGCGUUCGACUCGCCCCCAUCUCCACCG